rnacentral:lncRNA from 1 species
AACCAUUUAGUUGCUUUUGGACAGAACGAGCUUUAUACAUUAUAAAGAGAUAAAAUGAUGAUGAUAUUCUAUUUUUUACAUUCAAAAAAGAAAAAAUAAUAUGGCUGAAAUUCUCAAGCUUGUUUAUGUAAUGAUUCUAUUUCUUUCCUUAGUUGAUGCACAGAAAAAAUAUAUGCGUAAGCCACUUUUUAUUCUUUUCAAAUUUCCUUAUUUAUUUACUUUCUACACAAUAAUUUAUCUGAUUUUAGUAACAUUAUUUUAUUCUCUAUUUGUUUAUGCAAUAAUUCUACUUCUUUCUUUAUUUCUGGUCGCAGCGAAAUUUUUCCGUAAGCAACUUUUUCAUCCUUUUCGAAUUUUCUUAAUUUAUACUUUGUAGUGUACACAAUAUUUUAUCUGAUUUUAAUAAAUAUUAUUUUAUUAUUAUUUUUCAAUAUAUAGCACGUUUGCACGAAUGUGAACAUGACGGUGAUUGUCCAGAAAUUGUUUCAUAUCCUUUGGUUAUGAGGUGUAUUAAUUACAAGUGUGUAGUUGUUAACAAUGUUAAUGAAGAAUAAUUUUUCAGAGAUUCAAGAUACACAAAUGCCAUGAAGGGGAAGAAUGAGCUCUUUAUUUUAUUUAUUUUUUUUACGAUUGAGAAUGAGCUCUUUAGCUAGCUAAAUAUUUGUGCAAGAUAGUAUUUAAUUAUAUGUCAUUUUAUUAUUAGUUAUUGUGAUGGA